CAGAGCGGGCAGUUCGGCGCGGGGCUGAUCGGGCGGCUGGCGGCCGGCCCGGCGAUCGUCGCGUUCGGCACCGCGACCGCGCUGGC
rnacentral:tRNA from 1 species